GCCGGGUGUGGUGGCGGGCACCUGUAAUCCCAGCUACUCGGGAGGCUGAGGCAGGAGAAUGGCGUAAACCCGGGAGGCGGAGCUUGCAGUGACGCGAUCUCGGCUCACUGCAAGCUCCGCCUCCCGGGUUCCCGCCAUUCUCCUGCCUCAA
rnacentral:SRP_RNA from 1 species